CCUACGGGAGGCAGCAGUGAGGAAUAUUGGUCAAUGGGCGGGAGCCUGAACCAGCCAAGUCGCGUGAGGGAAGACGGUCCUAUGGAUUGUAAACCUCUUUAGGCGGGGAGCAAUGCCGGGCACGUGUGCCCGGAGGGAGAGUACCCGCAGAAUAAGCAUCGGCUAACUCCGUGCCAGCAGCCGCGGUAAUACGGAGGAUGCGAGCGUUAUCCGUAUGUAUUGGGUUUAAGGGGUGCGUAGGCGGAUUGUUAAGUCAGCGGUAAAAUGUCCGGGCUCAACCCGGGCCGGCCGUUGAAACUGGGGAUCUUGAGUGGGCGAGAUGUAUGCUGAAUGCGUGGUGUAGCGGUGAAAUGCAUAGAUAUCACGCAGAACUCCGAUUGCGAAGGCAGCAUACCGGCGCCCGACUGACGCUGAGGCACGAAAGCGUGGGGAUCGAACAGGAUUAGAUACCCCAGUAGUC
rnacentral:rRNA from 1 species